rnacentral:rRNA from 1 species
GCAUGAAGUCGGAAUUGCUAGUAAUGGCAGGUCAGCAUACUGCCGUGAAUACGUUCCCGGGCCUUGUACACACCGCCCGUCACACCAUGAGAGUUGGGAAUACCCGAAGCCUGUGAGCCAACAAACGAGGCAGCAGUCGAAGGUAGAAUCAAUGAUUGGGGUGAAGUCGUAACAAGGUAAC